GGCUGUAGUGUACACCAUGAGCUUAGCUUAAAGGUGUGCUAUAAAUGAAUAGUGCUAAUAAAAGGCUGUUGAGAUUGUUUCAAGUGAGAAUACUAUCUCAGUUACUAUUACUAUUUUAUUACCCAUUUUAUACUAUUAUUUCAGCUGGAAUCAAAAGACCUGUCACCCAGGAGGACAAGGAAUGGGCACUGGCAUCCUUGUCACAACUUGGGCAUUUUACUGGGAUGAGGUGGAUUCUGAGUCCAGAAACGCCUCAGGUAUUUUGUAUACACUAUGUGGCCAAAAAUAUGUGGACACCACACUGAAACCUCAUUGACUUGCAAGGAUAGGGGACUGUUCCUGUCUGACAGCAGCCUGCUCGGUGGAUCUCCAGAUGGGACAGUAUCUCGUGAUUGCAUUGUUGAGGUGAAGUGUCCGUUGUCAGCCAGAACCAAGACUAUCCUGCAGGCAGCAGAGAGUGGGGAAUGUUUUUCUGGAGUUGGAUGAAGUGGCUCGUUCCCUGACACUAAAACAAACUCAUAACUACUGGCAUCAGAUCCAGAGCAACCUACACCUGACCAGAGCUAACAGCUGUCACCUACUUGUAUGGACUCCUCUUGACCUUGUCAUCCUGCCAGUGCUCAAAGACCCAAC